AGUGAACGCUGGCGGUAGGCCUAACACAUGCAAGUCGAACGGCAGCACAGUAAGAGCUUGCUCUUACGGGUGGCGAGUGGCGGACGGGUGAGGAAUACAUCGGAAUCUACUUUUUCGUGGGGGAUAACGUAGGGAAACUUACGCUAAUACCGCAUACGACCUACGGGUGAAAGCAGGGGAUCUUCGGACCUUGCGCGAUUGAAUGAGCCGAUGUCGGAUUAGCUAGUUGGCGGGGGAAAGGCCCACCACGGCGACGAUCCGUAGCUGGUCUGAGAGGAUGAUCAGCCACACUGGAACUGAGACACGGUCCAGACUCUGACGGGAGGCAGCAGUGGGGAAUAUUGGACAAUGGGCGAAAGCCUGAUCCAGCCAUACCGCGUGGGUGAAGAAGGACUUCGGGUUGUAAAGCCCUUUUGUUGGGAAAGAAAAGCAGCAGGUUAAUACCCCGCUGUUCUGACGGUACCCAAAGAAUAAGCACCGGCUAACUUCGUG
rnacentral:rRNA from 1 species